rnacentral:lncRNA from 1 species
UCCACUCUCUUAUUGGAACUUUGUUUAAAUUCAGUAAUUUGUUAGAAGCCCUUCAAACGUUAAAUUUGGAAGUGUAUUUUAAAUGCAUAUUUUAUUAUUUGCGUGAAAACUGUUUUUGCAGUAUUGUUUUGUCAUUGUCACAUUUGUUUAGCGUGUAAACUGUUUUUGCCGAAUUAUUUUCUGGCCUCAAUGUCACGGUCGCCAUGUAGACAAGUUAUAUUUUAUUUGUAGAUAUAAAGACAUCCGUCUUUCUUGAGUUGGCUUUAUUCAAUGAAUCCGAGUAUAUUUUUGAAAUUCUACUUAUUUUAGGGCAGCGUAGCUGCGCUGCCAGGAACACCGGCAGCGGAGCGGCCGCAUUUAUGUGUUUAAUAUAUAUGUAUGUAUAUAUGCCCAGCGCUGCUGAUAGCGGGGUGGCGCGAGGGGUAUGCAUGCACAUUUAAACGGAUCAUGUUUGGGUGCCGUCGGUUACGUGAAAGACGCCGACGUUGCACUCUUGUCCGCGAGGCAUAUUUGUG